rnacentral:rRNA from 1 species
UACGUAGGAGGCAAGCGUUAUCCGGAUUUAUUGGGCGUAAAGCGGGCGCAGGUGGCCCCUCAAGUCCGAUGUGAAAUCUCCUGGCUUAACUGGGAGGGCGCAUCAGAUACUGUAGGGCUGGAGUGCACCAGAGGGAAGCGGAACUCCCGGUGUAGUGGUGAAAUGCGUAGAUAUCGGGAAGAACACUAGUGGCGAAGGCGGCUUCCUGGGAUGUAACUGACACUGAGGCCCGAAGGCGUGGGGAGCAAAC